CAAAUGUAUCAUAGCUUUAUUUGUUAUACAUACAAAAGUGAGAUAUCCAUCAUAAUGUUUGCCUUACUACAUUUGAUACAUGGAUACUAAUAAGUAAGGUAUAAAAGUCAAUGUCUCUAACGACUUUUGUACAAAAUAAGAGACUAAUAUGUAAUUUAGGAUGCUGAUAAUACUAAAUUACAUAAAAUAAUUUAUCAGCUAAAUAUGUAGAAAUCUUGUUUUGUUACUUGUUUGGACGCGGGUUCAAAUCCCGCCAGCUCCACUA
rnacentral:tmRNA from 1 species